UAUAUUAGAAAUAGAAAUAAAAAUUUGGAGACAAUUGGCAGUCUCAGAUACAAAGCCAAACUACAAGAUAUGAAAAAUGAAACUGUGAAAGCCGAUGUUGAAAUCAGUGAGAAAAAAAGAAUCACAACUUGCUCUGGCAGGCAGGAUGGUGACCUUAAAACAGCAAAGUAUCUGACUGAGAGGAGGGAGAUUGAAGCAGUAACAGGAUCUGUGGAGAGUACUGACAUGUUAUUCACACAUUUGUGGAGAAGUGUGGACCUGAAGUUUUAAAAGGAAGGAGCUGGCACAGAGGAAAAUAAAGAGAGAGACAGGCACCCCAAAAGGUCUUUACCAUGUGGUCUUCUCCCAGCCUCAGCCAGCCAGGAAUAUGGACAUGCAUGAGUGUGCAAGAAGAAGAAAAGUGAACAGACACAUUCGGAGGGAAGACCAUAAGAAGACACAUGGAGAACACAACCAUUCACAACAAAGAGAGACGCCUAAAAUAGAUCCUUCCCUCAUGGCCUUCAGAAUACCAACCCGGCUGGCACCUUGACUUCAAGCCUCCAGAACUUUGAGAAAAUGUAUUUCCAUACUUAAGUCAUCUGGUCCGUGGUAUUUCAUUAUGGCAGCUCCAGUAAACUAAUACAACACAUGAAAACACCCAAAUUUCUGGACUUAGUUAAUGAAAAUAACCCCCAAAUUGAUGGAGGGCAGGUGAUUUUUAUUCCUAUAAAAACAGAAAUAAUCGGAGAACAUUACCUUUGUGGAAAAAAGUCUCCAUUUAGGAUAAAGUAAAAUGUGAUAUUAAACAUAAUGAUUUUCAGAGAAGUAAUAAUGAUAAUUACAAAAUAAUUAAUGUUUGCAAUGUAAUUUUCC